UUCUGGGCAAUCUUGCACCGAAGAAUGCAGGUUCUGCAUUCCAAUUAGUUGUAAAUCAAUUCAAGUUGCUGAUUGGUUCAAUAUCAAGGAUUGGGUUCAGAACCAGUUAACUGGUGAAAUUCCUAGGUUAAUCUACUGGGAUGAAGUGCUGCAGUAUUUUUGGAGGCCUGUGAGUCGAUGGCCUACAACAGAGACUGUUCAUGCGUUAAGAAAUGGAGCUGAUGUAAUGAAGUCAAACCCCAUUGGAGCCGCUGCAGACUUUGAUGAGGAUGAGUUCUAAGCUGAACUUGAGUAGUUGGUCAAGAAGCUUGCAAAGAAGUUCCAUGCUUUUCUAGCCUCAGAGGAUGUUAUCAAGCAGAUUCAUUGUCUUCUUGGACCUGGACUUAACAAGGCAAGCAUGUUUUUCU